GUGUGUUAUCUUUGCUAUGAAAUUAGUUUAUAGUGUUUUAUUCUAUUCUUUUAUGGGAAAUCUCAAAACAGAAAUCCCGCCCAUUUUCCUUUUUGACGGUUUAGAUGAAAACCUCAAUACCUUCAAUUUCUUUCUCGUGUCUUCUAAACCCAUAAAUUCCUAAAACCUCAUUUCACUCUCUCUCCUCCCCGUGAAGAAACCCCAAAGAGGAAACCUAAAAACCCCAAAUCCCUAAUCUCUCUCUCUCGUCCCCUGCUUUCUGCCUAGCCGGAAUCCGGUUGUUUCCUCGCCGGUGAUGCGUGUAGUCUUGGUGUUGUUCUUGUCGAAGUUGUUGUUGUCGCUGCCGAAACUUUCCUCCCCCGCUUGCGUCCCCCUAACUCUCCUCUCGUUGCUGCUGCCGUUGUGCGCUGCCGUGGCUUUGGUUUUUACCGCUGCUAUUAAUGCGCCCUUGCUGGUGGUGGUGCCACCAUUGUGUGAUGUUGUCGUUGUAGUGUUUGGUGCUGCUGCCAUUCUUUUUCUCCCCUUAUCGCUCUAUCUCCUAGUAAACAUGGAAUUGUGGGGGGAUCUUUUGAUUGAUGUGUAUGCAUCUCCGGUUCCCUUCCUCCUUCGGUUCUCACCUUCUUCAAUUCAUUCUAGCAGACUUCGUGGAACAUUAAAAUUCGCCAUUGUAACCGAUAACCAUAUUCGCCAUUUUUACCGGCAAUUUGAGGUAAUUGUUAAUUUUCAGGCCCUUGUGUAUUCCUAAUACAUAAAGAAACUGAUUUUCGUGCCUUUAUUGUUCAAAUUUUGUUAAUUUAAUUAAUUUUUUGGUUUCUUGAAUUGGUAAUAUACUAUAUUGAUUUUCUGAAAUUCCUGAAAUUGGGUGUUUAAUGAGUUAGCAUAGCACUUGUGGUUGCCGCCAUAGACACUACUUGUAGUUAGUAGCUAUUUAGUAUAUUGAGAGUUGCACUACUGUUGUUUUUCGAUACCUAUUUUCAGGUGCAAAUGGGUUGAUAAUAAUACUGGAGUUCAACAUGAUGAUCUAGGUUUCUCCUUAGUUAAUCUUGAAAAAGCUCGGCCACAAGGAUGAUCCAUACAUCUUAGCCAGCAAAGCAAAGCAAGUGUUUUAUGUAACUGAUCCACCUGAUAAGAGAAAAUCGAUAGUUCUAAAAUCGAGGUCUCGCUAUAACAUUGAUGACUAUGAUAAUGGUGAUGAGUUGGAGGAAAGUCUAUCUAGCUAGGAAGUACUAUCAUGGCAUUGGUCGAACCUAUUCUCAGGAGAAAAUUGAUGAUGAACUCAAGUGGAUUACAUAUGUCGGAGAUUAACAAGAAGCACAAAUUAUGAAUGAAUUUUAACUUCCCGCCUAAUUUUUUUUACCUUAAUCCAUCUUUGGACGUACAUUAUAUUUUUGUUAUUUGGAUAUUAAUAUCAUGUGGAUGUGGCUAGUCUAGAUUUGAUUGUUUAUGAUUUAGAUUAAUAUUGAUAUGUAUAUAUAGUAGGUUUUGGAAGUUUAGAAUUGUGAAUAUUGGUUGAAUUCUUUUGUGAAAUAAAAACUUUUGGGAUUCAA